rnacentral:rRNA from 1 species
AAUCAACGCUGGCGGCGUGCCUCAGACAUGCAAGUCGAACGCGAAAGUUCCCUUCGGGGAGCAAGUAGAGUGGCGCACGGGUGAGUAACACGUAGGUAAUUUGCCUUCGGGUGGGGAAGUAACAGUCGGAAACGACUGCCAAUACCGCAUAAUGCAGCGGCUCGACAUCGAGACAGUUGUUAAAGCGGGGGAGUCCUUCGGGACCUCGCGCCUGAAGAGAAGCCUGCGGCAGAUUAGCUAGUUGGUGAGGUAAUGGCCCACCCAAGGCUACGAUCUGUAACCGGCCUGAGAGGGCGGUCGGUCACACUGACACUGACAUACGGGUCAGACUCCUACGGGAGGCAGCAGUCGGG